rnacentral:rRNA from 1 species
ACGUACACUCCUACGGGAGGCAGCAGUGGGGAAUAUUGGACAAUGGGCGCAAGCCUGAUCCAGCCAUGCCGCGUGAGUGAUGAAGGCCCUAGGGUUGUAAAGCUCUUUCACCGGUGAAGAUAAUGACGGUAACCGGAGAAGAAGCCCCGGCUAACUUCGUGCCCGCAGCCGCGGUAAUACGAAGGGGGCUAGCGUUGUUCGGAUUUACUGGGCGUAAAGCGCACGUAGGCGGACUAUUAAGUCAGGGGUGAAAUCCCGGGGCUCAACCCCGGAACUGCCUUUGAUACUGGUAGUCUUGAGUGCGAGAGAGGUGAGUGUAAUUCCGAGUGUAGAGGUGAAAUUCGUAGAUAUUCGGAGGAACACCAGUGGCGAAGGCGGCUCACUGGCUCGAUACUGACGCUGAGGUGCGAAAGCGUGUGGAGCAAACAGGAUUAGAUACCCUGGUAGUCCCAUGAU